GUUAUGAAAUGCAGGUGCGUUAAUAGCGCACUUGCUUGACUAAGGCUCCAGAGGAAGCCACGGCUAACUCUGUGCCAGCAGCCGCGGUAAUACAGAGGCGGCAAGCGUUGUUCGGAAUUAUUGGGCGUAAAGAGCACGUAGGCGGCCUUGCAAGUCAGUUGUGAAAGCCUUCCGCUUAACGGAAGAACGGCAUCUGAUACUACAGGGCUUGAGUACGGGAGGGGAGAGUGGAACUUCUGGU
rnacentral:rRNA from 1 species